UACGUAGGGUGCGAGCGUUGCCCGGAUUUAUUGGGCGUAAAGGGCGCGUAGGCGGCCACGCACGUCCGUUGUGAAAUCGCCCGGCUCAACUGGGCGGGGUCAGCGGAUACGGUGUGGCUCGAGCAAGCUAGGGGCAAGUGGAAUUCCCGGUGUGAGUGGUGGAAUGCGUAGAUAUCGGAGGAACACCAGUGGCGAAGGCGGUUGCCUGGAG
rnacentral:rRNA from 1 species